UCUCCCUUCGCUAAAAAAGUUCGAGAGGCACACCCAGCAACCAAGGCUCCCGCCGCCGCCGCCCCCUCACCCUCGGCCGCCUGCCCUCGUUCCUCCUCCCAUCUUGCCUCCCUCACCAAUUUCUCCGCUCGUCAGGGACGCACACUGCGUUGUCGCCCAUCCUUUUGCGUCGGGAAGGCAUCGACCCUGCCAUUCCUCCACACGACCGGAGAUGCAGACGCCGUCGCCGCCCCCUCGCCCUCGGACGCCUGCCCUCGUUCCUCCUCCAAGCUCGCCUCCCUCGCCAAAUUGUCCGCUCGUCGGGGACGCACACUGCAUCGGGAAGACAUCGGGGAAGGCAUCGCCCCUGCCGUUCCUCCGCGCGACCGGAGAUGCAGAUGCCGCUGUUGUUCGCCCGCACGGCCAGGAAUGACACAAGUACCGAUGGACCCGUCCUCCUCAACUGCAGCAGUUCAGCAGGUGGCUCUUUCAAAUUAUGAGUGGAUAUAGAAUGAGGUUCUGAUAAUCUUAUUCAUGGAUCAGGAAAUUAUAAUUUGUGACUUUGUAGUUCUCAGAUCACCAAGAUAAAUUGACGAUGCAUGGGUCAUAUGUUCAUUGCAAGGAUAAGAAUGGAGCUACUACAAGAUAAUUAGAAUGCCAUUUUAGGAUCAAUGUUUCAAACAUUAUAGUUGAUUGCAAGGUCAAGAAUUGGGCCACUA